AUCAUGGCUCAGAUUGAACGCUGGCGGCAUGCCUUACGCAUGCAAGUCGAACGGUAACAGGGAGCUUGCUCCGCUGACGAGUGGCGAACGGGUGAGUAAUAUAUCGGAACGUGCCCUAGAGUGGGGGAUAACUAGUCGAAAGAUUAGCUAAUACCGCAUACGAUCUAAGGAUGAAAGUGGGGAUCGCAAGACCUCAUGCUCGUGGAGCGGCCGAUAUCUGAUUAGCCAGUUGGUAGGGUAAAAGCCUACCAAGGCAUCGAUCAGUAGCUGGUCUGAGAGGACGACCAGCCACACUGGGACUGAGACACGGCCCAGACUCCUACGGGAGGCAGCAGUGGGGAAUUUUGGACAAUGGGCGCAAGCCUGAUCCAGCAAUGCCGCGUGAGUGAAGAAGGCCUCGGGUUGUAAAGCUCUUUUGUCAGGGAAGAAACGGGUUGAGCUAAUAUCUUGGCCUAAUGACGGUACCUGAAGAAUAAGCACCGGCUAACUACGUG
rnacentral:rRNA from 1 species